rnacentral:lncRNA from 1 species
UCAUUCCCUAAAUGAAUCUGUCUUCCUCAUAUCCAGCUGAGAUUUUUUUUCAUUCCUUGCCGUGCAAGUGAAAAUCCCUCUUCUCUCAUUUCUUCCUCUCUUAAUCCAACUAUUGCUGCUCUUUUUGCUUCCGCUGGGAUAAUUUGAUAGGAGAAGCAUGCAGAUAUCAGAUGAGAGAAUCGAGAGCUUAAGCAGCAUUAAAUGGUGGAGCUAGAGAAGUAGAGAAUAGAGUUCAUUAAGGAACUAGAGUCUGAGAGGAUAAACAUGUUCAUGGAUGCCCAUUGGAGCUUGAAAUUAAAUCUUUUAAAGCGUUCUAAAUAUGUUUCUUCUGUUUCAGGUGAAUUCAAUUCCUAUAUUUAUGAUUUUUAGCUGCUUCUUGUUUGGUGUUUUUGCUAUUGAAUUUGGUUGAAUUGGAACUGAAUUUGUCAAAAUGUUUGGAUUGCACUUUGAGUCCCAUUUUAUUGCAAAUAAUGCUAUAGAAACUUGUAUUCUUGAUGGGUAUGCAGAAAACAAUGUAGAUUUUGCUUUUGUCCAUUUUUCUUUUGCAGUGUAAUUCUUUAUCUUCUGCAUUUGAUAUUGGGUUUUUAGAGUAGUUUUGUUAAGUUUUGGACAGGAUUUAGAUUCUGAAAGAAUCUGCCAUGAAACUGGUUUAUCCAAGUGCAUUAGAGCUGCAUUGCAGGGGUUUGUGCAUCAGAGUUGACGAUGCAAGUUUAAGUGCUAAUUUGACUUAGUAUAUUUUUCAAUUCUUUUAGGGUGGAUUUUGGUGGAUUUUCCUUCACGCCAGUUGUGAAGCAAUUGAAGUAAUAGAGAAUGUUUGAAAUAUUUUCCAUAUUCAUUUGUUUUUUACCACUGAAUAGUGAAGAAGAAUCCAGAUUGAAACCUUCAAGCCUCCAAGUUUUUCUUCCUUGAUUGCGCACUUGGGAGGACCAAAAAUUUAAACUGAGCUGCUGCAAGUAUUUGGGUCCUUGUUCUCUUUAGCUGAUUUUCUCGUGGUUCUCUCAAUGAACUUUGCCAAUUUUACACAGGCUUGUCUAGGCAAAUUGUCAAUGGGUUAAAUGAGAGAAGCUGUUUGGGUGGAUUAUUGGGUUAAAUGGGUCAACUCAUUUACUAACCCUUAGCUCCAGAGUCAUUUGCAUCUUUUUCUCCCCCUCUAGUGGAAUAUUUAUAUCUCGUUAACGGUUGGACUUGUAAAUUUCUCGGAAUCAAAACAUAGGGAUUAAGUGACCUAAUUUCCAAAACCAAGGGACCAAGUCAUAAUUUUGAUCAAAGGUCAGGGAUUAUAUAUUAAAUUUUCCAUCUUCAUACGCCUUGUCCUUGGAGAUAAAAGUCAUAAAACAACUCGGUAGGUUAUUUUUUAGUUAAAGUUGUAGUUUUAUUUGUUAGUUUGCUUUUAAAUUUUGGACUACAUUCAUGCACUCAACUUUCAGAAAAAUUGAUUUCAUAAGGGAACUUUUCUCUUUCAUUCAUGAAUUAUUCUUGCAGACCUGAAUAUCUGAACCUGUCCUGAGGACCAGAACCAGAGCUGGAGGAACCGAAGAACUGAAUUGAAAUUUCAUUUGAUUUGGUUCAGGUUCUCACUACCUUCAGUUCUGGCUCCUGAAAAUCCUUGGGGUGGAAAAGAAUUGAACUGUGCACCACAUUUUGAUAACAUACUUGUCAAAAUGCAAAAGGUGCUAAGUUGAUGGAAUUAUGAGCUGUGUCAUACUUCUUAAAUUAGCAUGUACUUGUUGUAAUGUAGUUAAUGAGUGUUAGAAGGUUUCCCUGUGAAAAAUAUGUUAACUGUAUCUGUCUGUUUUAUAAGCUAUUUAGAGAAUAACUUUGUUCUGGGGAUAGAAAAUGUAAAUGCUCAGGCUAAUGAGUUGUGACUUAUGUUUUUUAAAGGAUUACUCAAAUCCUAGAGAGUUAGAGAUCAAAACAAAUCGUAUGAAGAGAUAAUGAUGGAUUUAAAAACUAAGUUUGCAUAAAUAAUUAUAUACAUACAUUCAUUCUUAUAUAUAUAU